CCCUUCGAUGUUCUGGGCUGCACGCGUGCUACACUGAUAUUGCCAAUAUGUCAUUCUUAUCCGAAAUGGAUUGGGUAAUCAAGUAAUGAAAUUUCAUGCUUGGAAUCGGUAAUUGCAAUUUUAUCGUGAACGAGGAAUUCCUAGUAAGCACUAGUCAUCAGCUAAUGUUGAUUAUGUCCCUGCCCUUUGUACACACCGCCCGUCGCUACUACUGAUUGGGUGUUCAAGUGAGAUGCUUAGACCCUUGUUGCAUGGUUCAUUAUUGUGCUCCGAAAGGAAAAAGUUUCAAGCUUGAGUGUCUAGAGGAAGUAAAAGUCGUAACA
rnacentral:rRNA from 1 species